UACGUAGGGGGCAAGCGUUGUCCGGAAUCAUUGGGCGUAAAGCGCGUGUAGGCGGCUCGAUAAGUCUGCUGUGAAAGUUCAGGGCUCAACCCUGAAAUGCCGGUGGAAACUGUCGAGCUAGAGUCCGGAAGAGGCGAGUGGAAUUCCUGGUGUAGCGGUGAAAUGCGCAGAUAUCAGGAGGAACACCAAUGGCGAAGGCAGCUCGCUGGGACGGUACUGACGCUGAGACGCGAAAGCGUGGGGAGCAA
rnacentral:rRNA from 1 species